GCAGCAGUGAGGAAUAUUGGUCAAUGGGCGGGAGCCUGAACCAGCCAAGUAGCGUGAAGGACGACGGCCCUACGGGUUGUAAACUUCUUUUAUAAGGGAAUAAAGUUCGCCACGUGUGGUGUUUUGUAUGUACCUUAUGAAUAAGCAUCGGCUAAUUCCGUGCCAGCAGCCGCGGUAAUACGGAAGAUGCGAGCGUUAUCCGGAUUUAUUGGGUUUAAAGGGAGCGUAGGCGGGCUUUUAAGUCAGCGGUCAAAUGUCGUGGCUCAACCAUGUCAAGCCGUUGAAACUGUAAGCCUUGAGUCUGCACAGGGCACAUGGAAUUCGUGGUGUAGCGGUGAAAUGCUUAGAUAUCACGAAGAACUCCGAUCGCGAAGGCAUUGUGCCGGGGCAUAACUGACGCUGAGGCUCGAAAGUGCGGGUAUCAAACAGGAUUAGAUACCCUGGUAGUCCGCACGGUAAACGAUGAAUGCUCGCUAUGGGCGAUAUAUUGUCCGUGGCCAAGCGAAAGCGUUAAGCAUUCCACCUGGGGAGUACGCCGGCAACGGUGAAACUCAAAGGAAUUGACGGGGGCCCGCACAAGCGGAGGAACAUGUGGUUUAAUUCGAUGAUACGCGAGGAACCUUACCCGGGCUUGAAUUGCAGGUGCAUGAGUCAGAGACGGCUCUUUCCUUCGGGACUCCUGUGAAGGUGCUGCAUGGUUGUCGUCAGCUCGUGCCGUGAGGUGUCGGCUUAAGUGCCAUAACGAGCGCAACCCUUCUCCCCAGUUGCCAUCGGGUAAUGCCGGGCCCUCUGGGGACACUGCCAUCGUAAGAUGCGAGGAAGGUGGGGAUGACGUCAAAUCAGCACGG
rnacentral:rRNA from 1 species